CAGCUUGGAUGGAGCUGCAUCGGUCAUUCACUGCCUCACCCGGGAGGACGUGCGGACUAGCAGGCGUGAUGUGCCACACCACAGACAACGGCCAAGCAGGCCUUGCUCUCUUCAAUUCUGAGACCUCCAUCCACCUGGCCCUGCCAAAAUGUACAAAUCUGAGGUAUGGCCUAAGGAAGUUGUGGUAGACUGUUAAGGAUUUAGGAGAAGUGAAGCACUGGACAUCGAAUGGAGCCAAUUUGUUUGCUGCAAAGGCUCACCUACUGAAAUCGAGACCCCAACAUACACGCACGCACGCACGCACCGAAUGAAUGUCCUGGUGGUGUCCGAGUUAUGUGUCAGGUUUACAGAAGUAGGGGGUGUGGCUCCGUGACCCCAGCCAUCCUUGGCGUCUGCUCUCGCUAAUUAAGAUACUUUUCGCUUUGCUACAGUCCAUCCAUCUGGGGGAACACGAUGCUGGUCUCAACGCUACCAUUGUCAGCUGUCUGGCUGGCACCCGGAGGUUGCCCCCCAUCCAGGACCCCUCUGCCCAGAUGUGCCCGAGGAACGGUCACUCUCACCACAAGGCAGAGGUUCCUCAGUAUCCCCUCUCUUUGGAAAGGGGAAUGUGCAGAAACAAACGGAGUUAAAAGAGUGUGGCGUGACGAUGGGGGCUGCCUAUGGAAACCAUCCUUUUUUACAACUUUUAUAAGUGCAUUCGGACUGAGUGGGAAGAAAGCACGUGAGCGACAGGAGCACAGCUUGGCUAUUCCUUCGCAGAUGUCAGCACUUGUAACAUGACACAGUGCCGUCCAGGAUCUCGUCAACGUUCUUUGCACCUUGGGUGGGGGGCACCGAGGAGUCAUCAACAGUUUUGAAGUAGAUGGGCCUUUCUCUGGAGAAUGUGCAGCUCCGUCUGAUAAUCUCAUGUUUAUGAUUAACAUACAGUUUCUCUAAAUGUUGGCUCAAUUUUACUAUAAUAAUUACUUAAAUAUUUCAUGAUUAUGAC